rnacentral:rRNA from 1 species
CGUACACUCCUACGGGAGGCAGCAGUGGGGAAUAUCGCACAAUGGGCGCAAGCCUGAUGCAGCCAUGCCGCGUGUAUGAAGAAGGCCUUCGGGUUGUAAAGUACUUUCAGCGGGGAGGAAGGCGAUAAGGUUAAUAACCUUGUCGAUUGACGUUACCCGCAGAAGAAGCACCGGCUAACUCCGUGCCAGCAGCCGCGGUAAUACGGAGGGUGCAAGCGUUAAUCGGAAUUACUGGGCGUAAAGCGCACGCAGGCGGUCUGUCAAGUCGGAUGUGAAAUCCCCGGGCUCAACCUGGGAACUGCAUUCGAAACUGGCAGGCUAGAGUCUUGUAGAGGGGGGUAGAAUUCCAGGUGUAGCGGUGAAAUGCGUAGAGAUCUGGAGGAAUACCGGUGGCGAAGGCGGCCCCCUGGACAAAGACUGACGCUCAGGUGCGAAAGCGUGGGGAGCAAACAGGAUUAGAAACCCCUGUAGUCCCAUGA